ACUGGUGUCGGCAUCAAGAGUGUCACAACUGGUACUGGUGUCAGCAUCACUGGUUUCACUAUCGGUACUGGUGUCAGCAGCACCAGUGUCACACCAACACCGGUGUCAGCAUCUCUGGUGUCACACUGGUCUUGGUUCCAGUUUCACCAGUGUCACCAUUGUUGGAGGUGUCACCAUCAUCCCUGCUGUCAGCAUCUCUGGUGUCACAAUUGUCACUGGUGUCAGCAUCACUGGUGUCACCACUGGUACUGGUGUCAGCAUCACCGGUGUCACAAUUGUCACUGGUGUUGGCAUGACCACUGUCACAACAGGUACUGGUGUCACCAUCACCGGUGUCACCACUGGUACUGGUGUCGGCAUCACCAGUGUUACAAUUGUCACUGGUGUUGGUAUCACUGGAGUCACCAUCAGUACUGGUGUUGGCAUGACCAGUGUUACAAUUGUCACUGGUGUCAGCAUCACUGGUGUCACCAUUGUCACUGGUGUCAGCAUGACCGGUGUCACCAUCGGUACUGGUGUCAGCAGCACCAGUGUCACACCAACACUGGUGUCACACCAGUCCCGGUUCCAGCCUCACCAUUGUCCGGCAUCACUGGUGUCACACCAACACCGGUGUCAGCAUCUCCUGUGUCACACCGGUCCCAGUUCCAGUGUCACCAUUGUCUGAAGUGUCAGCAUCACCAGUGUCACACCAACACCAGUGUCAGCGUCUCCGGUGUCACACCGGUCCCAGUUCUAGCCUCACCAGUGUCAGCAUUGUCCAAGGUGUCAGCAUCACCAGUGUCACCAUCCUCACUGGUGUCACCAAUGUCCGAGGUGUCAGCCUCACCAGUGUCACACCAAUAACGGUGUCAGCAUCUCCGGUGUCACACCGGUCCCGGUUCCAGUGUCACCAUCCUCCGAGGUGUCAGUCUCACCAGUGUCACCACUGUCCGAGGUGUCAGCGUCACCGGUGUCACACCAACCCCGGUGUCAGCAUCACCAGUGUCACCAUCCUCCGAGGUGUCAGCAUCACUGGUGUCACCAUUGUCCGAGGUGUCAGCGUCACCAAUGUCCCUGGUGUCAGCCUCACCAGUGUCACAGCGACCCUGGUGUCAGCAUAUCUGGUGUCACACCGGUCCUGGUGUCAGCGUCUCCGGUCUCACACCGGUCCCAGUGUCAGCCUCACCAGUGUCACCAUCCUUUGAGGUGUCAGCCUCACCGGUGUCACCAUUGUCCGAGGUGUCAGUGUCACCAAUGUCCCCAGUGUC
rnacentral:lncRNA from 1 species